CCUACGGGAGGCAGCAGUGGGGAAUAUUGCACAAUGGGGGAAACCCUGAUGCAGCAACGCCGCGUGAGUGAAGAAGUAUUUCGGUAUGUAAAGCUCUAUUAGCAGGGAAGAAGAUGACGGUACCUGAAUAAGAAGCCCCGGCUAACUACGUGCCAGCAGCCGCGGGAAUACGUAGGGGGCAAGCGUUAUCCGGAUUUACUGGGUGUAAAGGGAGCGCAGGCGGCAGUGCAAGUCUGGGGUGAAAGCCCGGGGCCCAACCCCGGAACUGCUCUGGAUACUGUGCGGCUAGAGUGCAGGAGGGGCAGGCGGAAUUCCUAGUGUAGCGGUGAAAUGCGUAGAUAUUAGGAGGAACACCGGUGGCGAAGGCGGCCUACUGGGCAGUAACUGACGUUGAGGCUCGAAAGCGUGGGGAGCAAACAGGAUUAGAUACCCGUGUAGUC
rnacentral:rRNA from 1 species